GACGAACGCUGGCGGCGUGCUUAACACAUGCAAGUCGAGCGGUAAGGCCCUUUCGGGGGUACACGAGCGGCGAACGGGUGAGUAACACGUGGGUGACCUGCCUUUAGCUCUGGGAUAAGCCUGGGAAACCGGGUCUAAUACCGGAUAUGACUCCGCGGCGCAUGUUGUGGGGUGGAAAGCCUUGUGCGGCUGGAGAUGGGCCCGCGGCCUAUCAGCUUGUUGGUGGGGUGAUGGCCUACCAAGGCGACGACGGGUAGCCGGCCUGAGAGGGCGACCGGCCACACUGGGACUGAGACACGGCCCAGACUCCUAC
rnacentral:rRNA from 1 species